rnacentral:SRP_RNA from 10 species
GCUCCAAGAUUUCGGACAUGGUGGCCUGCACCUGUGGUCCCAGCUACUCAGGAAGCUGAGGCAGGAAGAUCACUUGAGCGUAGGAGUUCUGGGCUAUAGUGUGCUAUGCCUGUCGGGUGUCUGCACUAAGUUUGGCAUCAAUAUGGUACCUCCCGAGAGGGGAACCACCAGGUUGCAUAAGGAGGGGUGAACCGGCCCAAGUUGGAAACAGAGCAGGUCAAAACUCCCAUGCCGAUGAGUAGUGGGAUUGCACCUGUGAAUACCCACUGCGCUUCAGCCUGGUGACAUAGCAAGACCCCAUCU